rnacentral:rRNA from 1 species
GGGCCCGCACAAGCGGUGGAGCAUGUGGCUUAAUUCGAGGCAACGCGAAGAACCUUACCUGGUCUUGACAUGCCCGUCAUAGUUUUCCGAAAGGAAUUCGUCAGUUCGGCUGGACGGUGCACAGGUGCUGCAUGGCUGUCGUCAGCUCGUGUCGUGAGAUGUUCGGUUAAGUCCGGCAACGAGCGCAACCCUCGUUUCCAGUUGCCAGCGGGUAAUGCCGGGGACUCUGGAAAGACAAACCUCUUGUUGAGGUGGGAAGGUGGGGACGACGUCAAGUCAGUAUGGCCCUUACGACCAGGGCUGCACACGUGCUACAAUGCCCGGCACAAUGGGAUGCAAUAUCGCGAGAUUGAGCAAAUCCACAAAACCGGGCCCAGUUCGGAUUGGAGUCUGCAACUCGACUCCAUGAAGUUGGAAUCGCUAGUAAUGGCGUAU